rnacentral:rRNA from 1 species
UACGUAGGGUGCGAGCGUUAAUCGGAAUUACUGGGCGUAAAGCGUGCGUAGGCGGUUCGUUAUGUCUGCUGUGAAAGCCCCGGGCUUAACCUGGGAAUGGCAGUGGAAACUGGCGGGCUUGAGUGUGGCAGAGGGGGGUGGAAUUCCGCGUGUAGCAGUGAAAUGCGUAGAGAUGCGGAGGAACACCGAUGGCGAAGGCAGCCCCCUGGGUCAAGACUGACGCUCAUGCACGAAAGCGUGGGGAGCAAACAGG